rnacentral:lncRNA from 1 species
GCUAGCAUCUAGAUGAAUCCAAUUUUUCUUGUGGUUAGUUUGCUUGUAUGAUAAGCAUUAGCCAAUUCCUACACUUGAUUUGAAUCUAAUUAAAUUUGAUUCAAUGGGCUCCAAUAGUUGGGUGUGAAGGGAAGAAAAACUGUAUCUAUUCGGAUAGCCCAGGUUGCAUCUAAAAUUUUUUUAUUAAUCUACAUGAAUAAGGAU